UUUCUCAAAACAGAGGAGGUUGCGGCAAUAACAGGUCUGUGAUGCCCUCAGAUGUCCCGGGCUGCACACGUGCUACAAUGAGUGGCGCAAUGUGCUAAUGUUUAAGGGAUAAGAGUGUGGUCAGUAGAACGUCGGGAUUUCCCCUGACGUCUCCCCCGCACGAUUAUCAGCCUUCCCUUAACAGGGCGGGCAACCUUUUCAAAAUACUGGUUUGAUGUUAAAGUAUUGAGUCGUUUUUUUUGGAUGGUGGUUUGUUAACCAAUACCAUCCGGCAACUGCUCGCGAGUUUGUGGUUCUGGCGACUCAUGGUGGGGACCGACGUUUGUAAUUUUUUGUCGCGUGUUAACUAGGAAUGCCUUGUACUGUCGAUUCACUAAGUUACUGGGAAUACGUCCCUGCCCUUUGUACACACCGCCCGUCGCUCUUAC
rnacentral:rRNA from 1 species